UCGAUCGAUCAUUCGAAAGGAAAAUACGAAAUCGCCAUGGACGCCAUUGAUUCCGUCGUUGAUCCUCUCAGAGACUUCGCUAAAGAUAGCAUUCGUCUCGUUAAGCGUUGUCACAAGCCAGAUCGCAAAGAAUUCACGAAAGUGGCUGUUCGUACUGCGAUUGGGUUUGUAGUGAUGGGAUUCGUUGGCUUCUUUGUGAAACUCAUCUUUAUUCCAAUCAACAACAUCAUCGUCGGUGCUACUUAGAUGUCAUUGUUUAUGUAAGAUGAUAUAAAUUCAAGAUCUUGAGUCUGAAGCAUUCCAAGUUGCGGACGUGUAUAUGAUGAUUCUAGAAUCCGAUCAUGUUAGAGAUUUAAAGCAAAGGACACGAGUCUGGUUCUAUGUUUUGAGGGAAGAAGAUUAGAGGUUUUUCUUGAUCCGAGAGAAGAAGGCACAUGUCAGUUCUGUGUUUUGUGUAAUCGGAUUCCUUUUGUUUUAGUGUUCAUUUUUGUUCAUUUUAUUUUUCUUUUGGGUUCACAAUUGAGAAAAACAAAAAAAAAAUUAGACUUGUUUUGAAUGUAGAGCAAACUAUUUUAGUAAGCUAUGGUUGAGGACCUCAAGAGUCCAAUGGCUCUGCCACUUGGCCCCUCUC